rnacentral:rRNA from 1 species
AAGAAAGUAAAUAAGGGCGCAUGGCGGAUGCCUUGGCUCUCGGAGGCGAUGAAGGACGUGAUAAGCUGCGAUAAGCUUCGG